rnacentral:rRNA from 1 species
AAUCGAACCCGGAGAUAGCUGGUUCUCCUCGAAAUAGCUUUAGGGCUAGCCUCAUGGAUCAUUGGUGGGGGUAGAGCACUGAAUGUGCGCGGGGGCCACAAAGCCUACCAAACGCUAUCAAACUACGAAUACCAUACAAUGCAGACCAUGGGAGUCAGUCCGCGAGAGAUAAGUUCCGCGGGCAAAAGGGGAACACCCCAGAUCAACCGCUAAGGUCCCCAAGUUCACGUUAAGUGGAGAAGGAUGUGGAAUUGCACAGACAACCAGGAUGUUGGCUCAGAAGCAGCCACACAUUUAAAGAGUGCGUAAUAGCUCACUGGUCGAGUGAUUGUGCGCCGAAGAUGUCCGGGGCUAAACGUGACACCGAAGCGAUGGGUGCGUCUGAAAGGAUGCGCGGUAGAGGAGCAAUGUGCAGAGGCAGAAGCCGUAUCGAGAGGCACGGUGGACACUGCACAAGAGAGAAUGCCGGUAUGAGUAGCGAGAGGCAUGCGAGAAACAUGCCCGUCGAAAGCCCAAGGUUUCCUGGGGAAGGUUCAUCCGCCCAGGGUAAGUCGGGGCCUAAGCCGAGGACGGAAGUCGUAGGCGAUGGACAGCAGGUGUAGAUUCCUGCACUACCGAUGGAAUGAAGCAGUGACACAGAAGGAUAACUCGAGCAGGGUGAUGGUCAACCCUGUGCAAGCAUCAAGGUUGGGUUGUAGUGAAGUACGCAAUCCUACAAGCUGAGGUGUGAUGCGGACCGAAAUUUCAGUAGGGAAGCGAGUGAGUUCACGCUGGCGAGAAAAGCUGCUAGUACAUCCAAAGGUACCCGUACCGGAAACCGACGCAGGUGGGCGAGGAGAGAAUCCUGAGACGAACGGGAGAACCCUUGUUAAGGAACUCGGCAAAAUGACCCCGUAACUUCGGGAUAAGGGGUGCCUGCGAGAGCAGGCCGCAGAGAAUAGUCACAAGCGACUGUUUAGCAAAAACACAGGUAUCUGCGAAAGCGAGAGCUGACGUAUAGGUGCUGACACCUGCCCGGUGCUGGAAGGUUAAGGGAACAUGUUAGAGCAAUCGAAGCAUCGAACCGAAGCCCCAGUAAACGGCGGCCGUAACUAUAACGGUCCUAAGGUAGCGAAAUUCCUUGUCGGGUAAGUUCCGACCCGCACGAAUGGUGUAACGACUUGUGAGCUGUCUCAACAGGGGGCCCGGUGAAAUUGAAGUAUGGGUGAAGAUGCCCAUUACCCGCGACUGGACGGAAAGACCCCGUAGAGCUUUACUGCAGCCUGAUAUUGAGUUUCGGUAACUGAUGCACAGGAUAGGUGGGAGUCUGAGAGACACGGGUUUCGGCUCGUGUGGAGACGCUGUUGGGAUACCACUCUUCGGUUACUGAAAUUCUAACAUAGCUCUGUGAAACCAGAGGAUGGACAGUGUCAGGUGGACAGUUUGACUGGGGCGGUCGCCUCCGAAAGAGUAACGGAGGCGCCCAAAGGUACCCUCAGAAUGGAUGGAAACCAUUCGAAGAGCGCAAAGGCAGAAGGGUGCCUGACUGCGAGAUUGACAAAUCGAGCAGAGACGAAAGUCGGGCUUAGUGAUCCGGCGGUAUUGAGUGGAAAAGCCGUCGCUUAACGGAUAAAAGCUACCUCGGGGAUAACAGGCUGAUCUCCCCCAAGAGUCCACAUCGACGGGGAGGUUUGGCACCUCGAUGUCGGCUCAUCGCAUCCUGGGGCUGAAUUCGGUCCCAAGGGUUUGGCUGUUCGCCAAUUAAAGCGGCACGCGAGCUGGGUUCAGAACGUCGUGAGACAGUUCGGUCCCUAUCCAUCGUGGGCGUAGGAGUCAUGAGAGGAGCUGUUCCUAGUACGAGAGGACCGGAAUGGACGCACCACUGGUGCAACUGUUGUCGUGCCAACGGCAUAGCAGGGAAGCGAAGUGCGGAUGGGAUAAACGCUGAAGGCAUCUAAGCGUGAAGCCCACCUCAAGAAUAAGACUCCACAAUAGACCCCUGGAGGACUACCAGGUAGAUAGGUCAUCGGUGGAAGCGCUGUAAGGCGUGUAGCUUGAUGAUACUAAUCGGUCGAAAGCUUCAUUU